rnacentral:rRNA from 1 species
AUGAACGCUAGCGACAGGCCUAACACAUGCAAGUCGAGGGGCAGCACAAGGAGCAAUCUGAGGUGGCGACCGGCGCACGGGUGAGUAACACGUAUGCAACCUGCCUGUAAGCGGGGAAUAACCCGUUGAAAGACGGACUAAUACCGCAUAAUACUAAAUUACUGCAUGGUAAUUUAUUUAAACAUUUAUGGCUUACAGAUGGGCAUGCGCAUGAUUAGCUAGUUGGAGAGGUAACGGCUCCCCAAGGCAACGAUCAUUAGGGGUUCUGAGAGGAAGGUCCCCCACACUGGUACUGAGACACGGACCAGACUCCUACGGGAGGCAGCAGUGAGGAAUAUUGGUCAAUGGACGAGAGUCUGAACCAGCCAAGUCGCGUGCAGGAAGAAUGUCCUAUGGAUUGUAAACUGCUUUUGCAGGGGAGUAAAGUGCAUCACGUGUGAUGUUUUGUAUGUACUCUGCGAAUAAGGAUCGGCUAACUCCGUGCCAGCAGCUGC